rnacentral:rRNA from 1 species
AACGGGUGAGUAACGCGUGGGUGAUCUUCCUUCGAGUGGGGAACAACAUCGGGAAACUGAUGCUAAUUCCGCAUAAUAUCUCAAGACCAAGAGUUUUGAGAUCAAAGCCGGGGACCGUAAGGCCUGGCGCUUGAAGACGAGCCCGCGUCCGAUUAGCUAGUUGGCGGGAUAAUAGCCCACCAAGGCAACGAUGGUUAGCCGGCCUGAGAGGGUGAUCGGCCACACUGGAACUGAGACACGGUCCAGACUCC